CGAUUGUUUGAUCCUGGCUCAGGAUGAACGCAGCGGUUUGCCUAAUACAUGCAAGUCGAACGCGUUGGCMAUACUGAUUGAUGAUGCUUGCAUCUUAUUGACGUACGGUUUACCAACGAGUGGACGGACGGGUGUAGUAACACGUAUUCAACAUGCCCAAGUAAGCAGUGUUACUAACAUUUGGAAACAAUUUUCUUAAUACCGCAAUAACUAACUAAUAAACCACAAUGGUUUUCGUUUAAAAGAUAGGUUUCGGCUAUCACUUCUGGUAUGGGCCUGCGGCACAUUUAGCUU
rnacentral:rRNA from 1 species